rnacentral:rRNA from 1 species
GACGAACGCUGGCGGCGUGCCUAAUCCAUGCAAGUCGAACGCAGUGGGGACGGGUGAGUAACACGUGGGUAACCUCCCAUCAGAGGGGAUAACACUUGGAAACAGGUGCUAAACCGAUACGGAGGGAUGGACCCGCGGUGCAUGGGCUAGUUGGUUGGGUAACGGCUCACCAAGGGCACGAUGCAUAGCCGACCUGAGAGGGUGUACGGCCACACGGGGACUUAGACACGGCCAAGACUCCUACGUGAGGCAGCAGUAGGGAAUCUUCGGCAAUGGACGAAAGGCUGACCGAGCAACGCCGCGUGAGUGAAGAAGGUUUUCGGAUCGUAAAACUCUGUUGUUAGAGAAGCGGUAUCUAACCAGAAAGCCACGGCUAACUACGUGCCAGCAGCCGCGGUAAUAC